UGGUACUGUUGAGGAAAAGUAUGUAAUAUUAAAUUUAAAUGCAUGUUGACAACAUUAAAAAAAAGCAUGAAAGCAAAAUGUUGCAGGUGAUUUAUGCUUGCUGAGGUCAAAAUAAUGAUUGUGCAAUUUUAUUUAGAAAUAUUCCAUCAAAAAAAAAUAAUGCAUAACUGAUAACAAUUGCUCAAACUUGCUUUCUGCACAAGUAGGCUUAAAAUCCCUGAAUCCCUUAAAAAAUUACAUAACCACUAUGGUUGUCUCAGACAUAUAUAUCUUCAUGCAAUAAAAAAAAUACUUUUUUAAAACUAAAAUAUAAAACCAUGCCCACUGGUCACAAUUGAAAUCUAUUUUCAAACUUUGAUAUUUUUUUUAAAAUAAUGACUUAUCUAGAUUUGUAAGUAACUUAAUAUAUAUAUGUCAGUAAGUUUUUCAUUCCUAGUUUUAAACCAAGUUAACUACUUUUAAUUAAAAUUAUCAGGCAGUUUUUGUCUUUCAAGAGAGACAUUAGAAAAUCAUGAAAAUAUCUUAAAACACAUUCACCCUAUCCUCCAGCUUUCAAUAAAAACAUUGACUGCCUUUAUGAGUUCUGACAUCAUGCUAGUUGUACAUAAUUUAAUAUUUGUAUAUUCUAUAAAAACAUAAAAUAAAAAAGUAAAGAUAUAUAUCAGAUUCUUGUAAAUUUGCAAUAUCAAAAUUUAUAAGAUACAUUGUUCAUAUAAAUAUUAGGCUAG
rnacentral:lncRNA from 1 species